rnacentral:rRNA from 1 species
AGCGAACGCUGGCGGCAUGCUUAACACAUGCAAGUCGCGCGGGCAGCAAUGUCAGCGGCGGACGGGUGAGUAACGCGUAGGAAUGUAUCUUGAGGUGGGGGACAACCCUGGGAAACUGGGGCUAAUACCGCAUGUGGCCUGAGGGCCAAAGCCGUAAGGCGCCUUGAGAGCAGCCUGCGUCCGAUUAGGUAGUUGGUGGGGUAAUGGCCUACCAAGCCUGCGAUCGGUAGCUGGUCUGAGAGGACGACCAGCCACACUGGGACUGAGGCACGGCCCAGACUCCUACGGGAGGCAGCAGUGGGGAAUAUUGGACAAUGGGCGCAAGCCUGAUCCAGCAAUGCCGCGUGGAUGAAGAAGGUCUUCGGAUUGUAAAGUCCUUUCGACGGGGACGAUGAUGACGGUACCCGUAGAAGAAGCCCCGGCUAACUUCGUG